GACGAACGCUGGCGGCGUGCUUAACACAUGCAAGUCGAACGGUAAGGCCCUUCGGGGUACACGAGUGGCGAACGGGUGAGUAACACGUGGGUGAUCUGCCCUGCACUUCGGGAUAAGCCUGGGAAACUGGGUCUAAUACCGGAUAGGACUCCGGACUGCAUGGUCUGGGGUGGAAAGCUUUUGCGGUGUGGGAUGGGCCCGCGGCCUAUCCGCUUGUUGGUGGGGUGAUGGCCUACCAAGGCGACGACGGGUAGCCGGCCUGGGAGGGUGACCGGCCACAGUGGGACUGAGAUACGGCCCAGACUCCUACGGGAGGCAGCAGUGGGGAAUAUUGCACAAUGGGCGCAAGCCUGAUGCAGCGACGCCGCGUGAGGGAUGACGGCCUUCGGGUUGUAAACCUCUUUCAGCAUCGACGAAGCGAAAGUGACGGUAGGUGCAGAAGAAGGACCGGCCAACUACGUGCCAGCCGCCGCGGUAA
rnacentral:rRNA from 1 species